UUUUCCACAAACAGUUCACCUUCUUCCUCCUAGUGUGAAGCAGGAGCUGAGCUAGGGUUCUUAAGAGAACUUCCUCUGAGCUAGCUGGGCGUAUUUUUUUUCCACAUAACUCCUUAAAUUGCUCCAGGUCUUGGUGCUCCUCCACUAAGGGUUCCUUAAGUUAGCUUUCAGUUUCGAGAUGUGGAGACCCUUGGUGGUCGUCGUAAUGAUGGAGAUGUUAUGGUGUAGUCAUACAUGGGUUGUACCUUGCUCUAUGGAGCAUCUUCUGGGACAUUGUUGCCUUUGUUGUUCUCUUGUUCUCUGAGCAAAUCUCAAGUUUAAACUAUUCUACGUUUAAGUUUGAGUUUAUGGCGUAUUUUGUGUCUUAACUCUACUUUCGGUAUAUUACGGAUAACUGUAAUAACUGACUUCUUUAUACUUUA